UGGGGAAUAUUGGGCAAUGGGCGCAAGCCUGACCCAGCAACGCCGCGUGAAGGAUGAAGGCCUUCGGGUUGUAAACUUCUUUGAUCAGGGACGAAAAGAAUGACGGUACCUGAGGAACAAGCCACGGCUAACUACGUGCCAGCAGCCGCGGUAAUACGUAGGUGGCGAGCGUUAUCCGGAUUUACUGGGUGUAAAGGGCGUGUAGGCGGGCUGACAAGUCGGAUGUGAAAUUCCCGGGCUUAACCCGGGCGGGUCAUCCGAAACUGUCGGUCUUGAGUACUGGAGAGGAUAGUGGAAUUCCUAGUGUAGCGGUAAAAUGCGUAGAUAUUAGGAGGAACACCAGUGGCGAAGGCGGCUAUCUGGACAGUAACUGACGCUGAGGCGCGAAAGCGUGGGGAGCAAACAG
rnacentral:rRNA from 1 species